rnacentral:rRNA from 1 species
UACGUAGGGGGCAAGCGUUGUCCGGAAUCAUUGGGCGUAAAGCGCGCGUAGGCGGUCCGAUCAGUCGGCUGUGAAAGUCCAGGGCUCAACCCUGGGAUGCCGGUCGAUACUGUCGGACUAGAGUCCGGAAGAGGCGAGUGGAAUUCCCGGUGUAGCGGUGAAAUGCGCAGAUAUCGGGAGGAACACCAAUGGCGAAGGCAGCUCGCUGGGACGGUACUGACGCUGAGACGCGAAAGCGUGGGGAGCAAACAGG